GUUCCAGACUCCUACGGGAGGCAGCAGUGGGGAAUAUUGCACAAUGGGGGAAACCCUGAUGCAGCAACGCCGCGUGAGUGAAGAAGUCAUUCGUGAUGUAAAGCUCUAUCAGCAGGGAAGAGAAUGACGGUACCUGAGUAAGAAGCCCCGGCUAACUACGUGCCAGCAGCCGCGGUAAUACGUAGGGGGCAAGCGUUAUCCGGAUUUACUGGGUGUAAAGGGAGCGUAGACGGCGAUGCAAGCCAGAUGUGAAAGCCCGGGGCUCAACCCCGGGACUGCAUUUGGAACUGUGUGGCUGGAGUGUCGGAGAGGCAGGCGGAAUUCCUAGUGUAGCGGUGAAAUGCGUAGAUAUUAGGAGGAACACCAGUGGCGAAGGCGGCCUGCUGGACGAUGACUGACGUUGAGGCUCGAAAGCGUGGGGAGCAAACAGGAUUAGAUACCCUUGUAGAA
rnacentral:rRNA from 1 species